rnacentral:ncRNA from 2 species
GGGGAAGGCGGUGCAAUUCCGCCGCGGUCGCGCCACUGUGAACGGCGAGGGGCGGUCGGAGGCCACUGGGAAAAUUCCCGGGAAGGCGUCCGCCCCGCGGGAGAAUCGUUCGGAUUCCCGAAGCCGUGAGCCAGGAUACCC